rnacentral:lncRNA from 1 species
UCCUGAGAUAUUAAAAUCAAACAUGNUCUCUUUCUCUUUCCUUCGGUGAGUCUUUCUUUCUUUCUUUCUAUCUUUCUUUCUCUAUCUUUCUUUCUUUCUUUCUUUCUUUCUUUCUUUCGUUCUCUAUCUUUCUUUCUUUAUCUCUUUCUUUCCUUUCCUUUCCUUUCCUUUCCUUUCCUUUCCUUUCCUUUCCUUUCCUUUCCUUUCCUUUCCUUUCCUUUCCUUUCCUUUCCUUUCCUUUCCUUUCCUUUCCUUUCCUUUCCUUUCCUUUCCUUUCCUUUCCUUUCCUUUCCUUUCCUUUCCUUUCCUUUCCUUUCCUUUCCUUUCCUUUCUCUGUCUCUCUCUUUCUUUCUUUCGUUCGAUUUCUUCAUUUCUUCUGCUUUUCUCUUUCUCUUUCUUUCUUUCUUUCUUUCUUUUCCUUCCUUCCUUCAUUCCUUUCUUUUUCUUCCUUUCCUUUCCUUUCCUU